ensembl:lncRNA
ACCCUGGGUCUCCACAGCUCUGAGCCUGGAGAUUCCUUCCAACUGCUGAGCCAAAAACCUCUGCCCCCCCGGCAAAGGAGAGAAGACAGCUGGAGAGAGAGGCCCAGCUUCCCCCCAAGGAGCGCUCCAGGGCUCCUGUGCCCUCACACCCCGCCAAUCCCUCGCACCAGCCUGUGACGACAGGCUUGUCUGCAGUUUCCAAGGACAGGAGGGCAGAGAGGAGCUGGCUGGUGACCCCAGGCCGGGUGUCCUCAGACAGGUUAAUCCAGAAGGGCCCCCACGCCCCGGUCCUCAGCAGCGGCUCCUUCCCCAGUGAGGUCCCCCUGCCUCUCAUUUUUCUUUCCUCUGAAAGAGACCAGGCAGAUGCUAAAGGCAGGGUCCCCGCUCCCACCCUUGUGGCCGAUGGUUAAACAGCAAGUCAGCUACAACAAAGGUCCGUCUAGUCAAAGCUAUGGUUUUUCCAGUAGUCAUGUGUGGAUGUGAGAGUUGGACUAUAAAGAAGGCUGAGCCUCGAAGAGUUGAAGCUUUUGAACUGUGGUGUUGGAGAAGACUCUUGAGAGUCCUUUGGACUGCAAGAAGAUCCAACCAGUCUAUCCUAAAGGAGAUCAGUCCUGGGUGUUCACUGGAAGGACUGAUGCUGAAGCUGAAACCCCCAAUACUGUGGCCACCUAAUAAGAAGAGCUGACUCAUUUGAAAAGACCCUGAUGCUGGGAAAGAUUGAGGGCAGGAGGAAAAGGGGAUGACAGAGGAUGAGAUGGUUGGAUGGCAUCAUCGACUCAAUGGACAUGAGUUUGAGCAAGCUCAGAGAGUUGGUAAUGGACAGGGAGGCCUGGUGUGCUGCAGUCCAUGGGGUCCCAAAGAGUCAGACACGACUGAGUGACUGAGCAACAUGGGCAAAAGCCCCUUGUCCCACAGAGAGCUAGCUGGGGCCCUCACGGCCCUCGUGGGUGGUGGGUUCUUGUGGCCUCAGGGACGACAGGUCAGCCCUUGGCACACACAGCCCCUUUAAUGCUCCUAACAGCUCUUGGAAGUUGGCACUGUGCCCUCAUUUUGCAACAGAGGACACCAUAUGGGGGCCUGUCUAGGGUCAGGAGACCAGGGGGUGCUGGGGCUGGAGCCCCAAGGCCCUACAGGUCCACAGCCUCCACUACACCCCUGCCCCUGUCUGGGCUGGCCUCCACGCACCAGCAAGAGCUUCACAGGAGCCAGGAACAGCCCGGGCUGUGCCCUGGCCACUGAUGGCCGACUCCCCGGUUCCAUGGCUGGAGUGGAGU